GCCAGGCACUCCUACUGGCAUCUACGGGCAUACCACCAUGAUCCCUGAAGCUAAGCAGUGUCAGUCUCUGGCAGUACUCGCAUGAAAUACUGUCUGGGAAUACCAGGCGCUCUAGGCU
ensembl:rRNA 5S_rRNA 5S ribosomal RNA